UCUCCGUAGGUGAACCUGCGGAGGGAUCAUUACUGAGUGAGGGUUUAACCGCCCGACCUCCAACCCUUUGUGAACACAACUUGUUGCUUCGGGGGCGACCCUGCCGUCCGCGGCUGAGCGCCCCCGGGGUCAAUCAAACACUGCAUCUUUGCGUCGGAGUUUAAGUAAAUUAAACAAAACUUUCAACAACGGAUCUCUUGGUUCUGGCAUCGAUGAAGAACGCAGC
rnacentral:misc_RNA from 1 species